CCCUUAGAUGUUCUGGGCCGCACGCGCGCUACACUGUUCGACGCAGCGGGUCUUAACCUUGACCGAAAGGUUUGGGUAAUCUUCAGCAAAGUCGAACGUGAUGGGGAUCGAUCAUUGCAAUUAUUGAUCGUGAACGAGGAAUUCCUAGUAAGUGCAAGUCAUCAGCUUGCGCUGAUUACGUCCCUGCCCUUUGUACACACCGCCCGUCGCUACUACCGAUUGAAUGGUUUAGUGAGAUCUCUGGAUUGACGCUGGCUAGGGGGCGACCCUUGGCCAGACUGCUCGAGAAACUGCUCAAACUUGAUCAUUUAGAGGAAGUAAAAGUCGUAACA
rnacentral:rRNA from 1 species